GACGAACGCUGGCGGCGUGCUUAACACAUGCAAGUCGAACGAAGUGGCGAACGGGUGAGUAACGCGUAAUCAACCUGCCCUUCAGCGGGGGACAACAGUCGGAAACGACUGCUAAUACCGCAUACUGAAGGAGGGGAUUGCGUUUGAUUGGCUAGUUGGGGGGGUAACGGCCCACCAAGGCGAUGAUCAGUAGCCGGUCUGGUGGGAUGGACGGCCACAUUUGGCCGGGGACACGGCCCAAGCUCCUACGGGGGGCAGCAGUGGGGAAUCUUCCGCAAUGGACGAAAGUCUGACGGAGCAACGCCGCGUUAGUUAUGACGGCCUUCGGGUUGUAAAGCUCUGUUAGUCGGGACGCGGUACCGGAAUAGAAAGCCACGGCUAACUACGUGCCAGCAGCCGCGGUAAUAC
rnacentral:rRNA from 1 species